AGACCGAUAGCGAACAAGUACUGUGAAGGAAAGGUGAAAAGAACUUUGAAAAGAGAGUGAAAUAGUAUGUGAAAUUGUUGAUAGGGAAGGAAAUGAGUGGAGAGUGGCCGAGGUUUCAGCCGCCCCUCGUGGGCGGUGUACUGCCGACGCCGAGUCAUCGAUAGCGAGACGAGGGUUACAAAUGGGAGCGCCUUUCGGGCGUUCUCCCCUAACCCUCCACACUGCCACCGACGACAUAAUCCACCCAUUUCACCCGUCUUGAAACACGGACCAAG
rnacentral:rRNA from 1 species